UCCCUGGUGGUCUAGCGCCUAAUGGUCCUGUGCUCUCACCACUACGGCCUGGGUUCAAUUCCCAGGCAGGGAA